rnacentral:ncRNA from 1 species
AAAUAAUUUAUAUAAAUGAAUUAGUAAUUAAUAUUAAAAUAUUUAAGAAAUUAAUAUUUAGUAAUAUUUAAAUUAAUAACUAAUUUUGUGCCAGCAGUUGCGGUUAAACAAAAAUUAAAUUAAAUUAUUUUAAUAUAAAAUAUAAUAAUAAAUUUUAAUAUUAAAAAUAAUUAAAUAUUUUAAUAUAAAUAUAAUAAAAUAUUUUAAUAAUAAAUAUAAUAAAAUAUUUUAAUAUAAAAAAAAAAAAAAAAAAAUCUAUGUGAAAAAUUAUAUAUAUAAUAAUAAAUUUUUGUAGUUUAGAAAAUUUAUUUAAAGUUUAUUUUACAUAUAAAUUUUAGUGUUAGAAAUGAUUUAUUUAAAAAAUAAUUUAUAUAAAUGAAUUAGUAAUUAAUAUUAAAAUAUUUAAGAAAUUAAUAUUUAGUAAUAUUUAAAUUAAUAACUAAUUUUGUGCCAGCAGUUGCGGUUAAACAAAAAUUAAAUUAAAUUUUAUUAGUUAAUUAAACAAUAAAAUUAAAAAAAAAUAAUAUAAAUUUUAAAUUAUUAGGUGAAAUUUUAAUUUAAUAAAAUAUUAUUUAAUUUUUAUGAUUUAAUAAAUUUUUAUAAAAACUAGGAUUAGAUACCCUAUUAUUAAAAUUUUAAAUUUGAAAAUACUAAAAUAGUAUAUAAUUAUUUAUUGAAACUUAAACAAUUUGGCGGUAUUUUAGUUCAUUUAGAGGAAUCUGUUUAAUAAUUGAUAAUCCACGAAUAAAUUUACUUAAUUUAAAAUUUUGUAUAUCGUUGUUAUAAAAAUAUUUUUUAAUAAUAAUAAUAUUUAAAAAUUAUAAUUUAAAUUAAAUCAGAUCAAGAUGCAGAUUAUAAUUAAGAAUAUAAUGGAUUACAAUAAAAUUAUUUAAAUGAAUAUUAAUUUGAAAUAAUUAAUUGAAAUUGGAUUUAAAUGUAAUUUUGUUUAAUUUAAUAAAAUGAUUAAUAAUUGAAAUAUGUACAUAUUGCCCGUCGCUUUCAUAUAUUAAAAAAUUGAAAUAAGUCGUAACAAAGUAGAGGUACUGGAAAGUGUCUCUAGAAAGAC